UACGAACGCUGGCGGCGUGCCUAACACAUGCAAGUCGAACGGGGUGAUUCCUUCGGGGGAUCACUUAGUGGCGAACGGGUGAGUAACGCGUGAGGAACCUGCCUCUCAGUGGGGGACAACAGUUGGAAACGACUGCUAAUACCGCAUAAUGUAGCGAGACCGCAUGAUCUUGCUACCAAAGCUUUAUGUGCUGAGAGAUGGCCUCGCGUCUGAUUAGCUAGAUGGCGGGGGUAACGGCCCACCAUGGCGACGAUCAGUAGCCGGUCUGAGAGGAUGAACGGCCACAUUGGGACUGAGAUACGGCCCAGACUCCUACGGGAGGCAGCAGUGGGGAAUAUUGCACAAUGGGGGGAACCCUGAUGCAGCGAUGCCGCGUGAAGGAAGAAGGGUUUCGGCUCGUAAACUUUUAUCGAUAGUGAAGAAAAAAUGACGGUAACUAAGUAAGAAGCUCCGGCUAACUAUGUG
rnacentral:rRNA from 1 species